UUGGAGUCCAUGAGGUGAUUCUACUGCAUAUAAUUUUAAACCUACUCACUCUUCUAUGGCGUUCUUAUUCCUUAGCCAAGCAAGCCUGUUUGCCAUACCCUGAAAACACAACUAAGAAGACCCACAGGCCAAGGAGAGCUUCUCAAUUAUCCAGCAUCAGGCCAGAUACAAAGAUUUUUCUCUUAUUGGCCAGAGGACUCCUUUUUAAGCUUCUGAUUAGUCUUUGAGGCUCCAAUCUAGGAAGUACAAAGGGCAUGGUAGUCACUAAUAGUGGAAUCGAGAAAUAGGUAAUUCACGGUGGUUUUCUUUCCUCUCUCUAAAGGCAGGCCAUUGUAUGUUUUAUUUAAGGAUCUUGAGGAGAGGGCCAAAAUAACUAGGAAUAGUUCUUUCCACACAAACUUACUAAAAUUUUCAGGUUUGGUCAGAAAAUAGCCUUUCUAGGUAUUCCAAGUAGGAAAGGUUUUAGAUACAGGGAAUGAGACUUAAGAGGGCUCAGGGAAGCUUUGGCUUGAGUUCAUUAAGCCAAAAAGCACCUGAGUAGCUACAAAGCUAGUACAGAUGAUCUUAGUUUUCCUUGGCACCAAAGCAGGCAGUUUGCAGGAGCUCACCAGGACUCGGCAAACUUCAAGAAUCUUUGGAAACACCAGGAAAUCAGAUCUCAUAUCUGUACCCCUCAGUGGCAGAAUGUGACCUGGAAGCAAUUGGGAGAAACAGUUCUGGGAAAUGCAGACUUCUCCCCUGUGAUGCAAAGCAAAAUCUGGAGAGAGCGAGAGAUGACAUGGAAUUAAAACAGACAAUCUGGCAAAAUGAAGUCAAGGGCUGAUGGGUUGUAUUAAUUAGAAGCCCACAAGAAACUGGUAUUUGAGGAACGAUUUGAAGAACAUGAGAGAGUGAGCCAUGCAGACGUCUGGGGAAAGAGCUCUGUAAUCUGAAGCAGAUAAUUUUCUGAUGAAUUGGAUGUGUGGUGUAAGAAAAAGAGAGACGUCUAGGAUGACUUCUUAUUUGUUCUAAGCGACUGCAAAGAUGUGCUGGCAUCAACUGAGGCGUGGAAAGCAGUGCAUGGAGAAGGGCAUUUUUCGACAUGUCAGGUCAACAAAAGGCAAAAGAAGAAGAUGGACACAAAUUCAAGGAGAGAGCCCUCAGAAGAAUCUAAACUUGCCAAUAUUUUCAUCCAUGACCUGUAGCAUUCAGAACUGUGAGAAAAAAAUUUCUGUUAAGCCACCCAGUCUGUGGUGAUUGUUAUGGCAGCCCCAGCAAAUGAAUACAGCAUCCUAUAACUAAGAUGAAGAACAAGGCUGAAGGAAAUGACUUCUAUAAUGUCAGAGACAGCAUCCUUAGUGGCAUUCCUGAGUUGCUAAAGCAAAAUCAAGCCCAAGACUUA